rnacentral:rRNA from 1 species
AGCGAACGCUGGCGGCAGGCUUAACACAUGCAAGUCGAACGCUCCUAGCAAUAGGGGAGUGGCAGACGGGUGAGUAACGCGUGGGAACGUACCCUUUGGUUCGGAAUAACUCAGGGAAACUUGAGCUAAUACCGGAUAAGCCCCGUAAGGGGGAAAGAUUUAUCGCCGAAGGAUCGGCCCGCGUCCGAUUAGCUAGUUGGUGUGGUAAUGGCGCACCAAGGCGACGAUCGGUAGCUGGUCUGAGAGGAUGAUCAGCCACACUGGGACUGAGACACGGCCCAGACUCCUACGGGAGGCAG